GUAGGUGGCAAGCGUUGUCCGGAAUUAUUGGGCGUAAAGCGCGCGCAGGCGGUUCUUUAAGUCUGAUGUGAAAGCCCACGGCUCAACCGUGGAGGGUCAUUGGAAACUGGAGAACUUGAGUACAGAAGAGGAAAGCGGAAUUCCACGUGUAGCGGUGAAAUGCGUAGAGAUGUGGAGGAACACCAGUGGCGAAGGCGGCUUUCUGGUCUGUAACUGACGCUGAGGCGCGAAAGCGUGGGGUAGCAAACAGGAUUAGAUACCCUGGUAGUCCACGCCGUAAACGAUGAGUGCUAAGUGUUAGGGGGUUUUCCGCCCCCCUUAGUGCUGCAGCUAACGCAUUAAGCACUCCGCCUGGGAGUACGGCCGCAAGGCUG
rnacentral:rRNA from 1 species